rnacentral:lncRNA from 1 species
CUGAAUAAAAAAGAUUGAAAUUUCACAAGUUGACAGGGUCUCAGCCGAAGUACAGCUACGGUAGUUUAUAGCUGCAAAAACAUUAUUAAACAGAUAACAUAAGAAAAAAGAUGUACAGCAUCUGAGAGAACAAUAUGAGCUCAGCUCAGGUCCGCUUGACAGGGUCGAAGUUGGACACGCCAAUCACAGCUCCAACAAUGGCGACCAGAACCACACCCCCAGCCGCUAUGCUGAGCAAGAAGUUCUUGAGAGAUGGGGUAACUCCAUCAGCCGCUUGAGCCACCUCUGGAAUCAUCAUCGAUGUCGUCAGCGCUGCUGCUGUCAACCCCGUCACCGCCUUUUCCUUGAACGAAGAAGCACCAGCCUUGACUUGGAGCUUUCCGUUGGGUCUUUUAACACCGCCCAUUGCCCUCCAUGGCUUCACCGGAAGUGGCUUAAAGACUGCCUCAGAGCUUGGCAUCCUGUUUUGGGUAGCUCCAGCUAAGGGCAGAGCCAUUGAAGCAGCUGAAGUGGAAGCCAUUGGUUCCUUUUUUCUUUUUUCCUUGCUCUCUUCAGUCUUCACACCGUAAGUCUAAACCCCCCAAAAAAAUCUUCCUCCUUUUGUUUUUGCUGCAAAUGUGUGUGUUUUUUAGAGGAGGGAUAAGGGAAGAAGAAAUGAGAGGUGGGAAAUUGAGAUUUUCUGGUGCCACGUGGCAUUCACAAAUCUAUCUGUCUUACGUGGCAGCUUCUCAAGUUAGAAUUGGUGGAUAAGGUUAUCUUCCAUUGAGGUUGAAAUUUGGGUGGGAUAAUUGAUUGGCUAAUGGCCAUUGAGUGGCACCCUAAAUUGCCAAAACACUGAUUUCUUCUUGACUUGUGUGGUUCUUAAGCUAUUUGGGUUCAUUUUGGACCCAAUAGCAACUUUAUCAAAUACUAUUUUAUUAGGCUAAUGUUAGACUUUAAAACAUUAAUAUGAGAAAACGACAUGUUAUGCUAAUAUCUACAUGUUGAUAUUUUUCGGAAAUAAUCUGAGUUCGAAUCAUUAUUGUACUAAAGAAAAUUAGAAGACGAAAUGAGGUUUUUGGAUAAGUUUAAAUUAGUUUUCUCCUCUAUUUAAUAAAGUUAACAUUUAUUAUUUAACAAAGUAAAUAUCUUUAAAGCAUUUAUGAUUCUGCAAAUAAAAUGUUUUUUUGGAGUUGAACUGCAAAUGGAAAAAUGAUUUUCAUGUAAUUCUUUAAACAAUAAAUGUUAACUUUAUUUAAAUCUAACUUUUUUUAUCAAAACAUUAUUUAAAUUUUUUCGAUUAAUAGUAGAAGGACCAAUUUGAAUCGAUCCCUAUAGUAAAAGGGCUUACUUGUUAUUUUCACCAAAUCUAAUCAAAUCCUACUAUUCAUUUUCUUAAAAUAUUAUAUUAACAUUUGCACUUUACCAAAUUAUGUACCAUGCAAUAACCAUGAGGUGUGGUGUGGUGAUUGCUCACCACAUCCUUUAAUCAUGUGGUGGGGGUUCAAUCCUUGUUCAUAGUAAUAGAUCAUAUUUUAUGACCAGCUAUUUCUCUCUUUAGAGAGCACAUACAUCAAGGAGAUUAAUCACUUCUGUCAAUGGUGAAUACCCUAAUUACAACCUAAAAAAAUUUACCAUGGAGAUCCAAUUUUGACAAUGGAUUUAAUAGGGAUUUUUUUUAUUCUGUGAACUUUUAGUUCUCCAAAUUGCUUUUGAUUCAAUAAUGAAAGAAAUGUGUUGUCCAUAUGAAUUCUCAUUCCCUAAGUUUGGUUUGGUUACCUUGCAGAAUAUGUGGGUACUAAUGAACAUGUACAAAUCCAGUUGGUUAUGAUAAAUAAGAUUUUGAUAGUUUCGGUUUAAGGUUUAAGUUUUUUUGUCAUAGAUUUGUAUAUAUAAUUUUGGCAUGUUUAGCCAUGUGUGUUCCAUAAGUAUCUAAUAAAACUUUUUAAUACGCGCGACAAACAAAACACAAUAAGUCAAUUGAAGAAUGAUGAAUAAAUGAUAACUCUCAUAUUUAGAGUUAUUUUAAUAUAGUUUUCAUAGUAUUUUAGGAGGUAAUUUUAGCAUUUAUGUUAGUUUACAUUAUAUUUUAUUUGAAUUUUGUUCAAUUUUGAUCAUUUUUAAAGGUGGUUUGAGUUUACUUGCUAUUUUUUUUCUCAAUUAUAGGCAUCAAAUGAAGAAGUGAAGACUUGGAGCAUAGAGAAAAAAGUGGUAAAGAGAAGUCUUCUGCUCUACCAUAUUUAAUUCAGUGCAGUGGAGUAAGCUCUUCAAUUUAGAAAUUUUGAUAGCAAGUAGUUCGCUCCACCGCAACUUCUGCCUGCAAUGGAGUGAUGCGAGCAUGACACCUAAAAAUAGAGAUUAUAAAAUUUAAGAAGAACGAAAGAGGAGGAAAAGAGGAAUAAAUCACAUGGGAGCUAAAGAAAUGCUCUCUCACAUCAAGGGAAAUUUCAAACUUGCAUUGAUAAGAAAAAAACAAUCCAAAGAGCUCAGCAUAAAUUUUUUAACCAUUUUUUCUCUAGAUUAUUUUCUUUUUACUUUUUAUUAGGGUCAAAGCCAUGAAAUUUUGGUUCGGCAAGCAAGGAUAAAAAUAUAAAUUGUUGAGGGCCAAACUUAAAGUUUUUAUACAAAAAAAAUUAAUUUGUAAUACUAAAUAGUAAGUGAACUUAAACUGCAAUAUGUCCAUUUUAUCCAAGGGGGCCCAAGGCCCUUACUUAUCCCCACUAUUUUUUUAUUGAUCUAAGUUCGUCGUGGAUAUCUUUUUGUUAUUUUCUCAACUCAAUAUGAUGGAUCCUAUUUCUUAGUUAACUAAUUUAUUUUCACUUCAAUGUUUGGAUCCUUGAACUAUAUUUAUUCAACCUUGUGCUUAUUUAAUCUGCUUGCCCAAUCAACAAGUUGUAUUAAUUUUGAUAACCUUGAUUUAUUUUUAAAGAAAAAGUUAGAGUUGAGAUCUAAUCUGAAUAGAUUAGGAUUAACUUAAGUAAUACCGACGAACAAGUUAAUUUGCAAUUUGGGUAGGAAUAUACCUAAUGCCCUAAUCAAUACAGCUAGUGGGGAAGAGUGUUUAACUUAGCUAGAUACUAGAAAAGUUUAGUUAUUGUCAUUGAAUCCUAGAUUAGUAAUUACAUAGUUUAAACAAUUGAAGAAGGGAUAAUUGAUUAACCGGAUUAGGUGAAGUUAAAGUUCCAAGUCCAUAAAAUUUGUUGAGAAACUUCGAAAGUUUUCAUUGCUUUAGUUUAGUAAAAUCUUUAUAGUUUGCUUAGUUUAAUUUUAGUAGAAACGAUAAUUUGUUUUUAUUUAUAUGGAUUAGAUAAAACCCAUUUGUUAGUACUCCACAACUUAAAAUUUGACCUUCGUGAGAAUGAUAUCUUUUUUAUCACUUUAUUACUUGAUCAACACAUUCACUUAUGUUACGAAUUUCGGUCAUCAAUAAAAUAUAUAAUUAUAUCAAAAUUAUGCAUUUUUAAUGAAUUAGAUGAUAGUAUUGUUAUAAAAAUGUAUUAAAAAGCAUAAACUUGAAAUUUGAGUAGUGAUGCUUAUUUUAAUUCUUAUAUUGCAACAUUUAUUAAGCCACAAUUAAUCUAAAAUAAUACAUGUUAUUAAUAAAUAAUUAAUAUUUUUAAUUAUAUAGUUAAAACGAAUAAAAAAUUACUAUACAAAAAUAUGAUUAAUAUGAUUUUAUUUGUUAUUAAUAAUUAAAUAAUAUUACUUAUUCUUAAUCUACUGGAUCCAAUUUCAACUCAAUUAUAUGUUUUAAACGAAUAAAUACUCUAUUUUAAAAAUUAAUUUUAAUUUUUAAUAUAGUAUAAUGAAAAAUAAAAUAUAAUCAUACCAAAACUUUAUUCUCAUUCGAAUGAGUAUUAGAAAACCGCAUAGCCCUCUAACUUUAUAAAAAUAAUUAAAUUUUUCAUUUAAUUUUUCAUCUCCUUUAAUUAACUUUGUUAAUUAACUUUGUUGAUAUGUUAUUUUAGUGACAAUUUACGUAGAUACCACGUCAAUAAUUAAUUAAUUUUUAAAAUUUUAAAAAUUUAAAAAAAAUUGUAAAAAUUAUUAAAAAGUACAAAUUUAAAAGUAUGUUUUUUAAUAUUUGUUAAUUUUAAAAAUUAUUUAUUUACUAAUAUGGAAUAGGCUAAAUAAGUAAAAUAUCGAAAUGCUAAAAACCGAAAAUUAAAAUAAUUUUUUAUAUAAAAUUGAAAAGUAAAAUAGAUUAUUAUGCCUUAAUCACGAUGGAACGUAAAUAGGAAGAUAUGAUCCCAGGUUACACUCUCAAAUUGUUCCAAUCAUAUAUUAAACUCGAUAGUGAUUCGAUAAUAUGGAACUAGAUUCGAGUUUUUUUAAAUCCAACUUGAGUAGGAUUUAAUUAAGUUUCUCAUUUACCCCCCCCCCCCAAGGUCCAAAUUAGCGUAAAUUAGAAAGAAAUUUCAGAAGCUGAAAGGAUCUCAACCAAAAUACAGCUACGGCAGUUUAUAACUGGAAAACAUUCUUAAACAGAUAACAUUCAAAGAAAAAAUGUACAGCAUGAGAGAGACUUAUAAGAGCUCAGCUCAGGUCCGCUUGACAGGGUCGAAGUUGGACACACCAAUUACAGCUCCAACAAUGGCGACCAGAACCACACCACCAGCCGCUAUGCUGAGCAAGAAGUUCUUGAGAGAUGGGGUGACUCCAUCAGCCGCUUGAGCCACCUCUGGGAUCAUCAUCGAUGUCGUCAGCGCCGCUGCUGUCAACCCUGUCACCGCCUUUUCCUUGAACGAAGA